rnacentral:rRNA from 1 species
AGUGAACGCUGGCGGUAGGCCUAACACAUGCAAGUCGAACGGCAGCACAGUAAGAGCUUGCUCUUACGGGUGGCGAGUGGCGGACGGGUGAGGAAUACAUCGGAAUCUACUUUUUCGUGGGGGAUAACGUAGGGAAGCUUACGCUAAUACCGCAUACGACCUACGGGUGAAAGCAGGGGAUCUUCGGACCUUGCGCGAUUGAAUGAGCCGAUGUCGGAUUAGCUAGUUGGCGGGGUAAAGGCCCACCAAGGCGACGAUCCGUAGCUGGUCUGAGAGGAUGAUCAGCCACACUGGAACUGAGACACGGUCCAGACUCCUACGGGAGGCAGCAGUGGGGAAUAUUGGACAAUGGGCGCAAGCAUGAUCCAGCCAUACCGCGUGGGUGAAGAAGGCCUUCGGGUUGUAAAGCCCUUUUGUUGGGAAAGAAAAGCAGCAGGUUAAUACCCCGCUGUUCUGACGGUACCCAAAGAAUAAGCACCGGCUAACUUCGUG